ACCCGCUGAACUUAAGCAUAUCAAUAAGCGGAGGAAAAGAAACUAACAAGGAUUCCCCUAGUAACGGCGAGUGAAGCGGGAUGAGCUCAAAUUUAAAAUCUGGCUGGUUUACUAGUCCGAAUUGUAGUUUAAAGAAGCGUUUUCGGUGGCAGCCUGGGUAUAAAUCCUUUGGAACAGGGUAUCAUAGAGGGUGAGAAUCCCGUCUUUGACUCAGUGCAUGCUACUAUGUGAUACGUUUUCAAAGAGUCGAGUUGUUUGGGAAUGCAGCUCAAAAUGGGUGGUAAAUUUCAUCUAAGGCUAAAUAUUGGCGAGAGACCGAUAGCGAACAAGUACCGUGAGGGAAAGAUGAAAAGAACUUUGAAAAGAGAGUUAAACAGUGCGUGAAAUUGUUGAAAGGGAAACGCUUGACACCAGUCAUGCGAGCGGAAAAUCAGUCUUUUGCAGUGGGGAGUUGUGUGGGUUCGGACCGCAAGGCCGGCCUGCGCUGCAUCUCUGCUGUAAGUGAUGCACUUUUUCGUUUGCAGGCCAACAUCAGUUUCUUCUGCUGGACAAAACUCUUGAGAAGGUAGCAGCUUUGGCUGUGUUAUAGCUCUUGAGCGAUACAGUGGAGGGGACUGAUGUUUUCGCAGCGCGUGCUCUCGGGCAAGCUGAUUGGGUGCUAUGGGAUCGUUCGGUGUACAAUGCUUGCAUUUUGCGCCGUGUCUUUUCUGUACUCGCUCAACUCGGCUCUUCCCCGCUUAGGAUGUUGGCUUAAUGGUUUUAAUCGACCCGUCUUGAAACACGGACC
rnacentral:rRNA from 1 species